ACCCAUGUGGUGUAGCGGUUUGAACACUCGACUUUGACUCUGGGGGCCAGGGUUCAAUUACCCUCUUGGCCA